CAGUCGCCGCGGUAAUACGUAGGUGGCAAGCGUUGUCCGGAAUUAUUGGGCGUAAAGGGCUCGCAGGCGGUUUCUUAAGUCUGAUGUGAAAGCCCCCGGCUCAACCGGGGAGGGUCAUUGGAAACUGGGAAACUUGAGUGCAGAAGAGGAGAGUGGAAUUCCACGUGUAGCGGUGAAAUGCGUAGAGAUGUGGAGGAACACCAGUGGCGAAGGCGACUCUCUGGUCUGUAACUGACGCUGAGGAGCGAAAGCGUGGGGAGCGAGCAGGAUUAGAGACCCCAGUAGUCCCUGUCUCUUAUAC
rnacentral:rRNA from 1 species